GACGAACGCUGGCGGCGUGCCUAAUACAUGCAAGUUGAGCGCUGAAGGUUGGUACUUGUACCGACUGGAUGAGCAGCGAACGGGUGAGUAACGCGUGGGGAAUCUGCCUUUGAGCGGGGGACAACAUUUGGAAACGAAUGCUAAUACCGCAUAAAAACUUUAAACACAAGUUUUAAGUUUGAAAGAUGCAAUUGCAUCACUCAAAGAUGAUCCCGCGUUGUAUUAGCUAGUUGGUGAGGUAAAGGCUCACCAAGGCGAUGAUACAUAGCCGACCUGAGAGGGUGAUCGGCCACAUUGGGACUGAGACACGGCCCAAACGCCUACGGGAGGCAGCAGUAGGGAAACUUCGGCAAUGGACGAAAGUCUGACCGAGCAACGCCGCGGGAGUGAAGAAGGUUUUCGGAUCGUAAAACUCUGUUGGUAGAGAAGAACGUUGGUGAGAGUGGAAAGCUCAUCAAGUGACGGUAACUACCCAGAAAGGGACGGCUAACUACGUG
rnacentral:rRNA from 1 species